GUCUAAUCAGCCAUAUCAAUCCGAGAGUAAAUAAAGUUAUGUAUGCAGUGUUUGUAUCUGAGGUCUGACCGUGUUCGCAAAAACAUGCCCGGAAAGAACUCAAGACAGAUCCAAGGACUCCAGGGGCCUUGACCAACCACCUUGCUAGGAAUUGACCAGUCACGCAUCCAGCAGGGUUCUCUGUCAACGCAGAACCUUCAGACAACAACAACCUUGGCAAAGUGCCCAGCCAUAAACACUCAAAGCCAACGUUAUUUCGCACUGAAAACUCAAGUCUAGCUAAGUGAAGGUGACACUAACAUUCCCCCUGCUCUUGACGGCUAGCCGCCAGCAAACCAUUAGCAGAUAGGCCGGUCUCUGGGUCAUGUUAUGUAUGCAAUAUGUAUGUACCAUACUUAAACAUUUUACAUAUUUUACUUAUUUCAGACCCUCUGUGCGCUUUAAAUGCUCAUGAUUUUUGACGACUCUAUUAUUCACCUUCUUAAGGUAAUAGACAUGAAGUACUCGAGGAUCUAAACCGGGCAAAAGAAAUCUGUCAGACUAAUGACACAGUUGAGAAACUGAGUUCUUCACCAGGAAUGCUUCUUUGGAGUUCACUAUUGAGAGAAACAGCAAAAGUUUACAAAGAGCUAGGAGACGCUGAGUUAGCCAAAGAAGAAUUCCAAAAUGCCUUAAGUUUCUACACUGAAGGGAUUAAUGUCAAGUGUAAAGAUGAACAACUGAACGUC